GAUGAACGCUGGCGGCGUGCCUAAUACAUGCAAGUCGAGCGAACAGACGAGGAGGUUGGUCCUCUGACGGUAGCGGCGGACGGGUGAGUAACAUGUGUAUCACCUACUUAGAAGACUGGGAUAACUACGGGAAACCGGAGCUAAUACCGGAUAAGAUAUUGAACCGCAUGGUUCAAUAGUGAAAGACGGUGUUGCGGUCGCUGAUAGAUGCAGCUGCGCGGCAUUAGCUAGUUGGUAAGGUAACGGCCUACCAAGGCAACGAUGCGUAGCCGACCUGAGAGAGUGAUCGGCCGCACUAGAGGGUGGACGCGUUCCAGACUCCUACGGGAGGCAGCAGUAGGGAAUCUUCCGCACUGGUCGAAAGCCUGACGGAGCGACGCCGCGUGAGUGAUGAAAGUCUUCGGUGCGUAAAGCUCUCUUAUUAGGGAAGAACAACUGUCUAAGUACCCAUGGCCGUCUUGACGGUACCUAAUCAGAAAGCCACGGCUAACUACGUG
rnacentral:rRNA from 1 species